rnacentral:siRNA from 1 species
CUUCUUAGAGGGACUAUGGCCGU